rnacentral:sRNA from 1 species
CAGAUGCUCUGAAGGUUGAUACCAGAGGACUCUAGAGUCCUUGAUCUGAAGUUACAUAAUGUGCUAUAGCAUUGAUUGGGCGUCUGCACUAAGUUUUGCAGCCUAUGGCUGUCCUGUACAUGUUGAAGAUAGCUAGGUUGCCUGUGGAAAGUUAAACAAGUUCAUGUCAAAA